CUGGUUGUAGCUGUAGAAGUCAGUCCCUGUCUGGUUGGGUUGUAGCUGUAGAAGUCAGUCCCUGUCAGGUUGGGUUGUAACUGUAGAAGUCAGUCCCUGUCUGGUUGGGUUGUAACUGUAGAAGUCAGUCCCUGUCUGGUUGGGUUGUAGCUGUAGAAGUUAGUCCCUGUCUGGUUGGGUUGUAACUGUAGAAGUCAGUCCCUGUCUGGUUGGGUUGUAGCUGUAGAAGUCAGUCCCUGUCUGGUUGGGUUGUAACUGUAGAAGUCAGUCCCUGUCAGGUUGGGUUGUAACUGUAGAAGUCAGUCCCUGUCUGGUUGGGUUGUAGCUGUAGAAGUCAGUCCCUGUUGGGUUGUAGCUGUAGAAGUCAGUCCCUGUCGGGUUGGGUUGUAACUGUAGAAGUCAGUCCCUGUCUGGUUGGGUUGUAACUGUAGAAGUCAGUCCCUGUCAGGUUGGGUUGUAACUGUAGAAGUCAGUCCCUGUCUGGUUGGGUUGUAGCUGUAGAAGUCAGUCCCUGUCUGGUUGGGUUGUAACUGUAGAAGUCAGUCCCUGUCUGGUUGGGUUGUAACUGUAGAAGUCAGUCCCUGUCUGGUUGGGUUGUAGCUGUAGAAGUCAGUCCCUGUUGGGUUGUAACUGUAGAAGUCAGUCCCUGUCUGGUUGGGUUGUAACUGUAGAAGUCAGUCCCUGUCGGGUUGUGUUGUAACUGUAGAAGUCAGUCCCUGUUGGGUUGUAGCUGUAGAAGUCAGUCCCUGUCUGGUUGGGUUGUAACUGUAGAAGUCAGUCCCUGUCUGGUUGUAACUGUAGAAGUCAGUCCCUGUCUGGUUGGGUUGUAACUGUAGAAGUCAGUCCAUGUUUGGUUGGGUUGUAGCUGUAGAAGUCAGUCCAUGUUUGGUUGGGUUGUAACUGUAGAAGUCAGUCCAUGUUUGGUUGGGUUGUAGCUGUAGAAGUCAGUCCCUGUUUGGUUGGGUUAUAACUGUAGAAGUCAGUCCAUGUUUGGUUGGGUUGUAGCUGUAGAAGUCAGUCCAUGUUUGGUUGGGUUGUAGCUGUAGAAGUCAGUCCCUGUUUGGUUGUAGCUGUAGAAGUCAGUCCCUGUCUGGUUGGGUUGUAGCUGUAGAAGUCAGUCCAUGUUUGGUUGGGUUGUAGCUGUAGAAGUCAGUCCCUGUUUGGUUGUAACUGUAGAAGUCAGUCCCUGUCUGGUUGGGUUGUAGCUGUAGAAGUCAGUCCCUGUUGGGUUGUGGCUGUAGAAGUCAGGUUGAGUUGUAACUGUAGAAGUCAGUCCCUGUCUGGUUGGGUUGUAGCUGUAGAAGUUAGUCCCUGUCUGGUUGGGAUGUAACUGUAGAAGUCAGUCCCUGUCUGGUUGUAGAAGUCAGUCCCUGUCUGGUUGUAGCUGUAGAAGUUAGUCCCUGUCUGGUUGGGUUGUAACUGUAGAAGUCAGUCCCUG